CACCUCACCCAUGUUAGGUGGCCAGGCAGGUGCCUGACACUGCUGUCCUCUGGGGAGGUGUAAAAUUUCCAUUAGAAAAAUGCAAGGAGGCUGGCCCUGGUGGCACAAACCUUAAAUCCCAGCACUCAGGAUGGAGAGACCGGCAGAUCUCGGAGUUUCAGGCUAGUUAGAACUACGCAGUAAGACCCCGUCUCAAAAACAAACAAACGAGCAAGAAGACGAAAAAGGAGGAGGAAGAGAACUAAGUGCCAAGAACUGGAAGAGGAAGUAUGUUGCUGCGCUGCAGAGUUGCCGUGGCAAUGGGUCAGCAGCAGAAAGAAACAGGUUCUGCCCUCAACAGACCAUCUGUUAGGAAGGGACCUUAAAUCUCCAAGAAAGGAAGUCUCUAGAGAUAGGACAUUCCAUUCUGUUGGAGUUUAAAUUUGGUCCCAGAGCAACAAGACCUGCUUUGGAGCCUCCAAACCUCAGGACUCCACAGUUCUCAAAAAGACAGCCGAACGGCUUCCUGGAAUCCCGUGUGAGCUGUCAGCUCUGCAGCAGUGUAAAGAUGCUGGAGCAUCCUCCAACCGCAAGCCAAGGACCACAAAGCCUUGCGUAUCACCUUGGCUUUCUUACAAAAAAGCUCUCUGAUCAAGGUGUGGCUGAGACUGGAGAGCAUGGGUGUGGCUGAGACUGGAGAGCAUGGGUGUGGCUGAGACUGGAGAGCAUGGGUGUGGCUGAGACUGGAGAGCAUGGGUGUGGCUGAGACUGGAGAGCAUGGGAAAUAUCCAGGCUAUGUGGCUUCAAAGGUGGCCAACUCUGGGACAAGUUGUUACUCUUGCUAUCCUCCUGCUCCGGAUCAAGGACAGACUGAAGAAAACCUGGGUUUUGCUUCAUUAUCUUUCUACACAGGACACCCCUUCUGCCUGCCGGGUCCUUCAGAAGACUCCCCGGAGUCCCCUCUCUAUUCGGCUGCUUGCUGGUGAAAAGGUCAGCUUAGGAACUUUGGGAAGGUCAUGGAACACUUGCCUCUACAGAAGGGAGAGGCCAAUUAACAUUUCUCAGACCACAGGGCGGGAACUGACCUGCGGGUGGGGACACAUUCCUCAGGACGGACUGUUGUCCACCUUCAGACAAGGGAAGUCCUUGUCACCUCAUUCCCUAAAGACCACUCAGUUUAAAGGGUGCACUGUUCCGCCAAUCAUCUUGUGCCUAGUUGCUGAUGCUCUAUUCUGCCCCUGGAAGCCAUAUAAAAACUUGCCAACUGGGUGCUGGGGUUGCCACCUCUUGUUCGGGUCUGGGUUGACCCCAGUGCACUGGAACAAUAAAUUCCUCUUGCUUUUUGCACCUAUCCUGGCUCCGCGUGAUUCACUCGGGGGUCCCCGGAAAGCUAAGGCUCCCCGGAGUCUUACACUGGCAGUGCUUGGGGCUCCUUGGUUUGCACAGCAACUCUCCUGUCUCUCUGGUCUGAGUCCAAUCUCCUCUCUUCAUAUAAGAACAGCAGUCACAUUCGCUUAUGGCCACCUACAUCCCCUGUGGCCUCACUUAACUUCCUAUAUACCCAUCAAGGUCCUAUUUCCAAAUCAAGUCACAAUCGGAGGCUCCACGUCUACAUGAAUUUGGGGGAAACUAUUCAAGCAAACAUAGCAACUGAAGGUAGAGCCAGCCUACCACACUGUGGGAAGACCCAGAUCAAUAAGAAUCACAGGUUAAUGAGGCAAGGAGACAAGAUUUAUCAACACUGUUUGCUGUAAGAUACCUUCAAGACCUGCCUACACAAACACCUGCUUCUUCAGCGCCUGCUCUGGGAGUGCCAAGUAAACAGGCCGUCCUUUAAGGUAGAUGCAUGGGAAAGACUCCCGUGGCCAGGAGAGCUGGUCUCUCAGGAGCCACAGCAGAAAGCAGAGCCCUGAACUCAUCGUUAUUUAAACUUGUGAGCCUGUCUCUUUGCAGCCAGACCUCUGCCCUCACUAAUGGAAGGCAUGCAUUCUCCCGGGAAGGGCCAGUCCUCAUUGGCGCUGAUGUCUGAGGACAUGAAGGGACAGACUGACAAGCUGGCCAAGUAAGGCCUGACUCCCUCCCAGACAGGUGUGAUCCUGAGGGACUCCCAC
rnacentral:lncRNA from 1 species